rnacentral:rRNA from 1 species
GAGGAACGAUGGAGGCGUGCUUAACACAUGCAAGUCGAACGAUGAAGCCCAGCUUGCUGGGUGGAUUAGUGGCGAACGGGUGAGUAACACGUGAGUAACCUGCCCUUAACUCUGGGAUAAGCCUGGGAAACUGGGUCUAAUACCGGAUAGGAGCGUCCACCGCAUGGUGGGUGUUGGAAAGAUUUAUCGGUUUUGGAUGGACUCGCGGCCUAUCAGCUUGUUGGUGAGGUAAUGGCUCACCAAGGCGACGACGGGUAGCCGGCCUGAGAGGGUGACCGGCCACACUGGGACUGAGGCACGGCCCAGACUCCUACGGGAGGCAGCAGUGGGGAAUAUUGCACAAUGGGCGCAAGCCUGAUGCAGCGACGCCGCGUGAGGGAUGACGGCCUUCGGGUUGUAAACCUCUUUCAGUAGGGAAGAAGCGAAAGUGACGGUACCUGCAGAAGAAGCACCGGCUAACUACGUG